CCUACGGGGGGCUGCAGUGGGGAAUAUUGGACAAUGGGGGGAACCCUGAUCCAGCCAUGCCGCGUGUGUGAAGAAGGCCCUCGGGUUGUAAAGCACUUUCAGUGAGGAAGAACGCCUGGUGGUUAAUACCCAUCAGGAAAGACAUCACUCACAGAAGAAGCACCGGCUAACUCCGUGCCAGCAGCCGCGGUAAUACGGAGGGUGCGAGCGUUAAUCGGAAUUACUGGGCGUAAAGCGCGCGUAGGUGGCUUGAUAAGCCGGUUGUGAAAGCCCCGGGCUCAACCUGGGAACGGCAUCCGGAACUGUCAAGCUAGAGUGAAGGAGAGGAAGGUAGAAUUCCCGGUGUAGCGGUGAAAUGCGUAGAGAUCGGGAGGAAUACCAGUGGCGAAGGCGGCCUUCUGGACUGACACUGACACUGAGGUGCGAAAGCGUGGGUAGCAAACAGGAUUAGAUACCCUGGUAGUC
rnacentral:rRNA from 1 species